rnacentral:rRNA from 1 species
GCUGGCGGCGUGCUUAACACAUGCAAGUCGAGCGGUAAGGCCCUUCGGGGUACACGAGCGGCGAACGGGUGAGUAACACGUGAGCAACCUGCCCCUGACUCCGGGAUAAGCCGGGGAAACCCGGUCUAAUACCGGAUGGGACGCCUCGUCGCAUGGCGGGGUGUGGAAAGGUGUCUUUCCGGUCAGGGAGGGGCUCGCGGCCUAUCAGCUUGUUGGUGGGGUGAAGGCCUACCAAGGCGAUUACGGGUAGCCGGCCUGAGAGGGCGACCGGCCACACUGGGACUGAGACACGGCCCAGACUCCUACGGGAGGCAGCAGUGGGGAAUAUUGCGCAAUGGGCGGAAGCCUGACGCAGCGACGCCGCGUGGGGGAUGACGGCCUUCGGGUUGUAAACCUCUUUUACCACCGACGCAGGCCCGCGCUUCUGUGCGGGUUGACGGUAGGUGGGGAAUAAGGACCGGCCAACUACGUGCCAGCAGCCGCGGUAAUACGUAGGGUCCGAGCGUUGUCCGGAAUUAUUGGGCGUAAAGAGCUCGUAGGUGGCGUGUCGCGUCUGCUGUGUAAGUCCGGGGCUUAACUCCGGUUUUGCAGUGGAUACGGGCAUGCUAGAGGUAGGCAGGGGAGACUGGAAUUCCUGGUGUAGCGGUGAA